rfam:Dipodomys ordii contig_25320, whole genome shotgun sequence.
GUGAAUGUAGCUUAGUAGUAGAGUGCUUGCCUAGCAUGCAUGAAACCUUGAGUUCAAUUCCUCAAUACCACA